AGUGAACGCUGGCGGUAGGCCUAACACAUGCAAGUCGAACGGCAGCACAGUAAGAGCUUGCUCUUACGGGUGGCGAGUGGCGGACGGGUGAGGAAUACAUCGGAAUCUACUUUUUCGUGGGGGAUAACGUAGGGAAACUUACGCUAAUACCGCAUACGACCUACGGGUGAAAGCAGGGGAUCUUCGGACCUUGCGCGAUUGAAUGAGCCGAUGUCGGAUUAGCUAGUUGGCGGGGUAAAGGCCCACCAAGGCGACGAUCCGUAGCUGGUCUGAGAGGAUGAUCAGCAACACUGUAACUGAGACACGGUCCAGACUCCUACGGGAGGCAGCAGUGGGGAAUAUUGGACAAUGGGCGCAAGCCUGAUCCAGCCAUACCGCGUGGGUGAAGAAGGCUUUCGGGUUGUAAAGCCCUUUUGUUGGGAAAGAAAAGCAGCAGGUUAAUACCCCGCUGUUCUGACGGUACCCAAAGAAUAAGCACCGGCAAACUUCGU
rnacentral:rRNA from 1 species